rnacentral:rRNA from 1 species
GACGAACGCUGGCGGCGUGCUUAACACAUGCAAGUCGAACGGAAAGGCCCUGCGGUUGUGGGGUGCUCGAGUGGCGAACGGGUGAGUAACACGUGAGUAACCUGCCCUUGACUUUGGGAUAACUUCAGGAAACUGGGGCUAAUACCUGAUAGGAGCUCCUGCUGCAGGGGGGGGGUUGGAAAGUUUCGGCGGGUGGGGAUGGACUCGCGGCUUAUCAGCUUGUUGGUGGGGUAGUGGCUUACCAAGGCUUUGACGGGUAGCCGGCCUGAGAGGGUGACCGGCCACAUUGGGACUGAGAUACGGCCCAGACUCCUACGGGAGGCAGCAGUGGGGAAUAUUGCACAAUGGGCGGAAGCCUGAUGCAGCAACGCCGCGUGCGGGAUGACGGCCUUCGGGUUGUAAACCGCUUUCGCCUGUGACGAAGCGUGAGUGACGGUAAUGGGUAAAGAAGCACCGGCUAACUACGUG